rnacentral:lncRNA from 1 species
AAUUUGUUGGGGAUAAACCCAUGUAGGCAACGAAUAAAAAAAUCACAAAGAAAUUAAAAAUAUCGAUCACGCAAAUUUUCUGUGGAAAAAUCCAUCCAAAGAGGAUAAAAAACCACGGGCAAAAAUAAUUCACUAAAUCAAAAAAAAUAAAAAGUACAAAGAUAGAGAUAAAAACUAAACCCCAAAACCAAAAAAUAAUAACCCUCAAAACUUAACCACA